rnacentral:rRNA from 1 species
AACAAACGCUGGCGGCGUGCCUAAUACAUGCAAGUCGAACGGGGAAAGCUUUCGGGUGAGUACUAGUGGCGCACGGGUGAGGAACGCGUGGAUAAUCUGCCUUAGAGUGGGGGAUAACUAGUCGAAAGAUUAGCUAAUACCGCAUAAGACCACAGGAGCUGCGGCUCAAGGGGUCAAAGGUUUUUCGCUCUAAGAUGAGUCCGCGUAAGAUUAGCUAGUUGGUGAGGUAACGGCUCACCAAGGCGACGAUCUUUAACUGGUCUGAGAGGAUGAUCAGUCACACUGGAACUGAGACACGGUCCAGACUCCAACGGGAGGCAGCAGUAGGGAAUAUUGCACAAUGGAGGAAACUCUGAUGCAGCGACGCCGCGUGAGUGAUGAAGGCCUUCGGGUCGUAAAGCUCUGUCGCAGGGGAAUAACACAAUGAAUGUACCCUGUAAGAAAGGAUCGGCUAACUUCGUGCCAGCAGCCGCCGUAACAC